UUAUUUGUGAUUGGAACUCCAUAAUAUCUAUCUAUUAUUCUAAUGCAGUUUAUAUACCUUAUUGCUGUUAUGAAUUACUUGGCCAUGUCUGAGUAUUUCUCUUGUUAGAUUUUAGGGUUUAAAUAGGUUAUGAAGAAUUAGCCCCAACUAUAGAUUGCUAAGUUGUGAUAUUAACCUUUAGGAUUGUCAUUAAUGUCUGAUUCUAGAUUAGCAACCUAGAACUUGCCCUAGGAUUGUCAGAUAUAAGCGAUAGCUUUCAUCUCAUCAUAAAACCAUUCUAAUUGAGCUAAGACUUGCUAGAGUAAGGCGAGAGCUGAUCUAGUGAGCUUAGUGAGCAUAUUCAACCCGCGCAUUAACGCUUGAUGUAGGAACCGAAAUUCACACUGUCGAUUUCCGUUUAAAUAAGGAAAGUUAGGAAAACCCUAAUUUCCCAGAGGACCCGGAUAUCUGCUAAAUCACACGCCAAACAAUAACAACACGAAAUAAAGACGAGAAAAAUAAGAAAUCGAAAAGAGAGCAAAAUAAAUCUUAUUCCGAAUCCGCGUUUGAGCAUUAUAACAAGGUAAGAGUCUGGGCUACGAGAGCUGUCAGCGAGAUUCCUAGUUCUAAAACCCUAAGACUGCAAGACCUAGUUGAGUCGCAGCUCGAAUAACAAAAACGGAAAGUUGCCUAAAAUUGCCCUAAGUGCUAAGUUUGCUCUGAAAAAGUUCUCCCCUUGUGCAUCUCGCCUAAGACUCCUUAUAUACUCCUCCAAUGUCAGUUUUUGCUUUUCCCGUCCUGCCCUUUAGCCGUCUUAAGUGAAAAAUGGAGAUAUUCCAUUUUUUCCGAUCUUCAUGUUUAUCCGCGAAAACUUAACAUUUUUUCUGCGGAAACUUAUCUUUAUACUUCUUUUUAUAAAAUAAAAAGGGUUUUUAACGUAAAAACCUCUCAAUUAUGUUUCAUUCGGGUAAAAACCCCUCAAUUAUUGACUCAAUGUAUAAACCCCUCAAGUUAGUUUUCUUAACGAAUCGACCCCUCCGUCUACAGUAUCGUUAAAAGCUGUGAUUUGUCGUUAAGUGAGAAACACAUCGUUUCAUUAAAUGGCCAAAAACGUCACAGCUUUCAUAUCUCUUCUUCAUCUCUUUUCAGAAUCCCCAAAUCGAAAAUUUUAGGGUUCUUGCUUGUUCUCUCCAAAUUUUCUUCAUUCCUCUUUGUUCAGUGUAAAUAGAUUGAUAGUAGGAGUCAUAACCACAAUGGAUUUAGGUCGUGGAAUACCCAGAAAGUGUCAGUGUGAGUCAUUGACAAUUAUGUUGAUCAUCAGAAAGAAAAUUCUAUCGAUGUGGAGCUAUCUUUGGUCCUCACCAUAUGUUUAAGUGGGCAGAUGAAGCACAUAUGGAAGAGUUUGAUCUUGUGGCUGCUACCAUAGAGAAAGAAUUAAUGGAGCUGAAGCAAGACUUUCUUGAUUUGAAGAAAGACAUUGGAGAGAUUAUUGUUGUCUUGGAGAGUAUUAGAGCUAAGUUUUAGAAGUGUUGUUGGUUUAUUUUGAUCAAAUUGUUAUUGUUAGUUGUUGGUAGUGUAUGAUUCCCACCUUGUGUGUAUCUUAUGAAUUGUUUGUAUCUUAUGCUCAAGUUGUUGCUGUUAACAUUUUUUCAUUUAUUA